rnacentral:rRNA from 1 species
GACGGGGCCGCACAAGCGGUGGAGCAUGUGGUUAAUUCGAAGCAACGCGAAGAACCUUACCAGGUCUGACAUCCCCUGACAACCCAAGAGAGUUCGGGCGUUCCCCUUCGGGGGACAGGGUGACAGGUGGUGGCAUGGUUGUCGUCAGCUCGUGUCGUGAGAUGUUGGGUUAAGUCCCGCAACGAGCGCAACCCUCGACCUUAGUUGCCAGCAUUCAGUUGGGCACUCUAAGGUGACUGCCGGCUAAAAGUCGGAGGAAGGUGGGGAUGACGUCAAAUCAUCAUGCCCCUUAUGACCUGGGCUACACACGUGCUACAAUGGGCGGUACAAAGGGUCGCGAACCCGCGAGGGGGAGCCAAUCCCAAAAAGCCGCUCUCAGUUCGGAUUGCAGGCUGCAACUCGCCUGCAUGAAGCCGGAAUCGCUAGUAAUCGCGGAUCAGCAUGCCGCGGUGAAUACGUUCCCGGGCCUU